GACGAACGCUGGCGGCGUGCUUAACACAUGCAAGUCGAGCGGAAAGGCCCUUCGGGGUACUCGAGCGGCGAACGGGUGAGUAACACGUGAGUAACCUGCCCCAGACAUUGGGAUAACCCUCGGAAACGGGGGCUAAUACCGGAUACGACACAGCUUCGCAUGGGGUCUGUGUGGAAAGUUUUUCGGUUUGGGAUGGGCUCGCGGCCUAUCAGCUUGUUGGUGGGGUGAUGGCCUACCAAGGCGACGACGGGUAGCCGGCCUGAGAGGGCGACCGGCCACACUGGGACUGAGACACGGCCCAGACUCCUACGGGAGGCAGCAGUGGGGAAUAUUGCACAAUGGGCGGAAGCCUGAUGCAGCGACGCCGCGUGAGGGAUGACGGCCUUCGGGUUGUAAACCUCUUUCAGCAGGGACGAAGCGUAAGUGACGGUACCUGCAGAAGAAGCGCCGGCCAACUACGU
rnacentral:rRNA from 1 species